CUUGGCCUCUAUCUCAAUCCAAAGCGCAGCUCACCUCCACACGCUAAUGGCUUCCAUAUCACUGGACAUAGCCUCCACUUUCCUCUCCUUCACUUCUCGCAAUCAAAUCCCUCUCUCCAGAAUUCGGACCACUGUCCUUCCUCUUUUCUUAAAGGACAACCAAUCCUUAUCCCUCAAAUCCACACGCUCGUUUCACUCCAGAAUCGUUGCUCUCGGUUUCUCCAAACCCACUUUCAAUUACCGUCGCAGGUUCACCGUCUCUGCCUCCUACUCCACCACUGCUGCCCCUCAGAGUGAGGAUUCCGAUUUGACCACCAAGAUUCCAGCUGAUAAUCGGAUUCCGGCUACCAUUAUAACCGGGUUUUUGGGGUCUGGGAAGGUAUAUAAUCUGUCUACAAUUAAUCCCAUAUCGAUAUUAGACAUUUUGCAAAUUUUAUUUGUAUACAGAAAUUGUGGCAUUUCUAAGGUAGUUUUUCGAAUGCCUUUUGUAUAACCUAUUUCUGUCACAACCUCAAAUUACUAGAUGUGCUACUUAGAAUUGCAAGUGAAAAGGCCUCAGCUUUUUAUUUGGUGAUACUCAAUCUUAGUGGCUUGCGAUAAAAAUUCCCAUUUUUUAGCAUUUGAUUGGGAUUUGGUGUUAGGUUAGUUAUUUGGAUUGAUAUACUUGUUUGUGGUGAUAAGCAGACAACAUUACUUAACCAUAUAUUGACUGCGGACCAUGGGAAGCGCAUUGCAGUUAUUGAGAAUGAGGUAUGGAGUUUCAUUUUUCGCUGUUUGUUAAUAAAUUAGAGUAGCGUCUUUCUUGUAAUUAUUGUACUGUUAAAGGAUUUUUUUUUUUUAAAUUGUAAUCAUAGCUAUAGUACGUUUGGACAACUAUUGUUGUUUUAAGGUACGUUAUUAUUUGCCACUCAGCUUUUGAGAUAUAUUGAAGUUUAUUAUGUGUUGACAACUAAUUUUCUUUGCUAAUGUUGAAUUGCAGUAUGGUGAAGUCGACAUUGAUGGUUCUCUAGUUGCAGCAAAAACUACUGGAGCUGAGGACAUUAUUAUGUUGAAUAAUGGUUGUUUGUGCUGUACAGUGAGGGGUGAUCUUGUAAGGAUGAUCUCAGAACUAGUUGCUAAGAAGAAAGGGAAAUUUGAUCAUAUUGUAAUAGAGACUACAGGGCUUGCAAAUCCGGCACCAAUCAUUCAGACUUUUUAUGCUGAGGAUACUGUUUUUAAUGAUGUCAAGUUGGAUGGUGUUGUCACUUUGGUUGAUGCUAAACAUGUUGCUUUUCAUCUGGAUGAGGUUAAGCCCAAGGGAGUUGUCAAUGAGGCUGUGGAGCAAAUUGCUUAUGCUGACCGGAUCAUAGUGAAUAAAGUAACUACGAGUCUACAAUUUUUACAAUCCUGGUUUUCAAUGGAAUUAGUUAGACUUGAGACAGUAAAAAUUGCACAAUUUUUAGCAUUAGUAGAUUUCACUCUGUUAAAAUCACUGGCCUUGUGAAAAAUGUUUGGCCAUUAUUUUUGGAUUUUUUAGAGUGCUUGUUGGUACUAGCUCAGCUAGGAUGGUAAUGUGCCAUGUUGACCCCAUCUCUUCAAAGUCCACAUGCUAGUAAGUUCAUGUUGUUAGCUGAAAUCUUCCUUGAACACAUGCAUAAGCAUAUGAGAAGAUAGAGAGAGAAAAAAUGAACACAAGAAUUUUAUGUGGUUCGACAGGUGCGCCUAUAUCUACAGACUGUCACCUGCUAUUUCCAUUAUUGAGAAUGAGAAUAUUACAGCCCUAUUUAUAUUGACCUAAUCCUUAUACACACAGGAUUUCUAAUACAAAUAGGAUUGACAUAACCGCCCCAAUAAUACGAAACGUCUCAGACCAUUAACACUUUAGGGACAUUUUGCCUCUUGUCGAGGAGCUCAAUGCCAUAAAAAUGAAUUGUGUAGCCCUAUUGCAUCUUAUAGCCACUGCUCAUGGUAACUUUGUUACUGAAAAUCUUCUAAUUCAUUUAUUAAACAUGUUGAUCUAUUUGUCUGAUAUAAUUAUAUUUUCUUUACCAGACUGAUCUUGUCGGUGAUAAAGAAGUUUCUUCUUUGGUGCAGCGGAUAAGGAACAUCAACAACAUGGCUCAUUUGAAGCGGACACAGUUUGGAAAAGUUGACCUGGAUUAUGUCCUUGGUAUUGGAGGCUUUGAUUUGGAGAGGAUUGAGAGUGCUGUCGAUGCUGAUGGUGAAAAGGAAGAUCAUGCCAGUCAUGACCAUCAUCAUGACCAUCACCACGAACACAACCACCACCACCAUCAUGAUGAACAUGACCAUCAUGAACAUCAUGAUGAUCACCAUUCCCACGAUCACGUUCAUGAUCCUGGUGUUUCUUCUGUCAGUAUAGUUUGUGAAGGGAUUUUAGAUUUAGAGAAGGCUAACAUGUGGCUUGGUACUUUGUUGCUGGAGCAUAGUGAGGACAUAUACCGGAUGAAAGGUCUUUUAUCUGUUCAAGGCAUGGAUGAGAGAUUUGUGUUUCAGGUAAGCUAGAAAUUCUAGAAGUGCCUACAUUUGACUAAUAGUUGGUUGGUAAGUAUUCAACCUUGCUGCUUAAAUUGAUUCUGUUAAAGGAUUUGUCUAAAUGCUUCUUCUCAAUCUCGAAAGCAAUGAAAUUUCACCCUUUCGUUGCCCUUAUAUCCAAAUGCAUGUUGUGUGAGCCUUGUGCUUUCGCCUUGUAGUCACUUUAACAUGAUGGCCACGGGCAGACCUUGUUAUGCUUUGUAAUUGUAAGGGCCAGGGCCACCGUAAGUCUUCUUAAAAUUUCAGAAGCAACCCUAGGGUAACAAAUUUUCAUGAAGAUAACAACAACCCCCUUAAAAUUUGUCAUGUUUUAAACUACAAGCCAUCAUUUUAUUAAAUGAUUUAGUCCAAUUUUGCUGUGAUGCCUUCAGCCUUUUAGUUUUGCCUGAUGGCUAGUCUCCGGAUAUAUUAUCAAUAUGCAGAUGUGUGGAUUUCGGAAAUUUUAGGAUUUCAAAUGGUGAGGGAAAUAUUAAUGAAUUUCCGUUAUUGUAUUGAGAAAGAGCUUUUAUGCUAUGGAUUCAAUUCUUAUAGCGUAUUUGCAGUGUAAAUUUUAUGUGAAGUGAUCAAUUUGAUUCGGAAGCCAUGUAUGCUUCUUGGGAAGGAUAAAAAAGGAGAAAAAAUAGUAACAAAGUUGUUGGUUGCUUUGAGUUAACAAAAUCCAUUGGGUUUUUUUUAUUUGAGAAUCAAUAAAAGCCAUUCUGGUAUUAUUUUCUUCAUUUAUUUAGUGAAAGAAUAAAAAUAGUGCUGCAAGCGUUAUGGCUUAUAUUUUAUAUUAAGGUUAUACCAGUUCCAUUUACUCUGGUGUUUUGGGUAACAGGGUGUUCAUGACAUAUUCCAAGGCUCACCGGAUAGGCUGUGGGGCCCAGAUGAAACUAGAAUCAACAAGAUUGUGUUCAUAGGGAAGAACUUGGACGCACAGGAACUAGAAAAAGGCUUCAAAGCCUGUUUGCUAUGAUUGCUUACAAAAGGCUUCAUUAUGUUUCAGCUUUCAUCGAUUGCUCACCAUAUGGAGGGUCUGACAAAUGACAACUAAUCAAAUGAUCAUGGAUAUGCAAAUGGUUUUCACAAAGAACGAUAUACUUUAGAUAUUAAGAUUAUAAAAUGAGUUAUUAGCUGUCUAUUGAAUUCAAAUGGUUUUCUCCUCUCUGGAUUUAAUUGUUGUCUCGAAAUGUGUGGAUU
rnacentral:misc_RNA from 1 species